UGAGGGAAAAAGACUACAUCUGACCAAUUGUUUGUGCCCUGAUUUGUUUUUGUUUUUUACGCUCCCUUGCAGGUCGAGGUUUUUGACCUGCUGUUGGUCACCAGCGAGAGCAACAGCAAGAAAACAUAUGUUGUGCAGUGCCAGGACUGUGCCCGCAGGGGGAGCCCUGACCUGGACAACUUUGUGGUUUUAGAACAGUAUAGAAUCGAGGAGCUGAUGCAGGUCUACGACCAGUUCACACUCGCGAGUCCAUUUUCAUCUUCCUGACCAAAACAGGCAAUACUCAUCUCUCUGAACUUCCGGCGUGACCCUCUGCAGCUCUAUAAUAAGGCAGCUGUGUUAAAGCUGUUUGUCUAUGCAACCUGCCCGGAGCAGAGUCUCUCCCCCA